rnacentral:sRNA from 1 species
GCUGGGUGCAGUGGUGCACACCUGUAAUCCCAGUGGCUCAGGAGGCAGAGGCAGGAGUAUCAUGAGUUCAAAGCCAGCCUCAGCAAUGGCGAGGUGCUAAGCAACUCAGUGAGACCCUGUCUCUA